AAAGUCGUAACAAGGUUUCCGUAGGUGAACCUGCGGAAGGAUCAUUAUCGAGUUCUGACGUGGGUUGUUGCUGAUCCUCCGGGAUAUGUGCACACUCAUCGCUCAUCCACUCACACCUGUGCACACUUGUAGUCUUUUUCUGAUUCUAAAGGAUGUAUGGUUGAAAGGCUUCACGGCCAGCCGACUUUCAUUCUGAAGAUGAAGGGGGGAUUACGUUUUUAUAUACGCAUAAAGUCUAGAAUGUUAUCUUGCUAUAAACGCAUUUAAUACAACUUUCAACAACGGAUCUCUUGGCUCUC
rnacentral:misc_RNA from 1 species